rnacentral:tmRNA from 1 species
GGGGAUGAAAGGAUUUCGACGGGGAUUUCAAUCCGUGAUAAGCGAGCGGUGGCGAGGAACCACCAUAAAAGCCUUAGUUUAUAAAUAAUAAACGACAACAAUAAAGUUUUACGUGCUGCUUAAUUUUUAAGCAGCUGUUCCCUACGGAAGUACUGCGGUCCGUAACGGAGCAUCAAGCAGCAGUAAAUGUGAACGGAUAACUGCUCUGUAGUCCGUCACACACAACAGAGCUACCGAGGCACUAAGCCCGUUAUCAGGCGUCCUGCCGAGGGAAUAAAAAGUGAUAACUACGCUCGUAGAAAGUUGCGAGGAGAGGUUUUCGGACGCGGUUUCGAGUACCGCCAUCUCCACCA